GACGUAGGGAGCGAGCGUUGUCCGGAUUUAUUGGGCGUAAAGAGCGUGUAGGCGGCCAUACAGGUCAGCUGUGAAAACUCGAGGCUCAACCUCGAGACGUCGGUUGAAACCGUUUGGCUAGAGUCCGGAAGAGGAGAGUGGAAUUCCUGGUGUAGCGGUGAAAUGCGCAGAUAUCAGGAGGAACACCAAUUGCGAAGGCAGCUCGCUGGAACGUAACUGACGCUGAGACGCGAAAGCGUGGGGAGCAAACAGG
rnacentral:rRNA from 1 species